GGGUGUGUGGCUCAAUGGCAGAGCACAAGUUCAAUAUACAUGAGGAUUUGGGUUCAAACCCUAGUGCACCAA
rnacentral:tRNA from 1 species